AGAUACAAAUCUGAGACAGUCAACUCGACGCCGGCGGAGCUGAAGGCGCAGGACUUCCAGGUGUGCAUUACGAUCAUCGAGGCGAGACAGCUGGCGGGGCUCAACAUGGACCCCGUGGUGUGUGUGCAGGUGGGCGACCAGAAGAAGUACACCUCGGUCAAGGAAUCCACCAACUGUCCCUAUUACAACGAGUACUUCGUGUUCGAUUUCCACAUGGCGCCAGCGAUGCUCUUCGAUAAGAUCAUUACUCUCACGGUAAGUUGAAGCUUGGUGUCCU